rnacentral:sRNA from 1 species
UCCGAUUGAGUAUGUGGGUUAAUUAAUC